UCUAUUCAGACCAAUUUGGCGUUCAGGAUACACUUCUUCGAUUCUGCAGCGCUGCAGGCUUACAUUUUGCAGAUUUUUCACGCAUUUGUUCAUGAUUAUAUAGCACAAGGAAGACAUGCCCGGUGCCUUUAUGUUUCCUUUAUACUGUGGUCCUUGAGAUCUGCACUUUUUUAUCCACCCGGCAAAUAUCCCUGUCAGAUUCCAUCUUCCUUAGGUGCUUCCAUUGUUCAGCAACAACUAACAUUAUAUGGUUGGAUGGGCCUUCAGCACAGAGCUGUGUUCUAUGUAUAAGGUCAUUGCUGCAUUUUGGUGGUAUCACGUUGCUACACUGCCCUCUUUGGAGCUGAAUUCGUUGUUCCCUACGAUGGCAUCGUUGAUGGCAUGUUGAAGGGCAGAUCAUGAAUUCGGCCAUGGAUGCACCAAUUCAUAGAUUGUCGACAAAAAUGCCGGAUGAAGGAAGCGCUCAUCUUGAAAGCAGUGAGCAAACCACCACUAACAGGUGGCAUUUUUUUUUCUGUUUUCAGAUGCUAACAUGUUGUCAGUAUGCAACUGGUACGAAGGGCUGGUCUUGUUUGAACCAGCUAAAUUUCUAGGUAUCAAAGUCUGAAGUCGAAGCUUCACUUGUUUUUGGUGUCAGUAUUAGAGUUUGUGGAUGGGGAGCUCUGGCUAUUAAACCAUCAAUCAGGCCAGCUUCCUUGUGCAUUGUUGGUGUCAUAUUGCUGUAGUUCUGAUGUUUGUUUCUUGGAACAACGAUUGUGAUUGGCAUUAAAACGUGGCUUAGAAUGCAGAGAUCCUGGCAGCUGGAGUGCUACAAUAGGUUCAGGGUGGUGGUUUAGAUUUCUCAGUCCAAUUAUCUUUGAGCAGAAAUAUGUUCAUCUACCAUAUGUUUCAGUUAAAACCUUUGCUGAUUAAUUGUCACCUUACUGUUAGUCUUACUGAUUGGAUUUCUGGCAUUAUGCAAUGCAAUGGCUAUUUUGACAGAUAAGGACAGAGAGUGAUAAGAAUUCCCAGUAGGAUGGAGCUGUGAGGAAGUAACUGAAGAUCAGAGCUCUGGAUAAGGAAAUUGCGUGUGGAAAGCUGCUAGUUGCAUAAAGCAGAUGUGUUAUCCAAGAUCAACACAUCCUUGUGUGUAGGAAGCUAAGCAAAAGGUGCACGAGAGGGUAACAAGAAGGAAGCAAGGAAGAUGGGGUUAGCUCAGUAUUUUCAGGAGAUAGGAUGAGCAUAUGUAUAACUUGCACGUAAUACUUUUACAGCAUGUUAUGGUUUGAAGUGAUGAUAAAUGAGAUUGAAGGUAAGAAAAAAAAAAAGAGCAAACUCUGGCCAUCAGAAAGAUGAUGGAUCGCACUCUCAACCAGGUUGAUGAAUUAACGCUUCUUUUUAGAGGCUUGGUCAGUAGGCUUACUGAUCAAGCAAGAACUUUAGACUUUUGGUGCCUAGCACAUGACUUCAUGCUGUGAAACAGGAUUAGUUCUUGUCACUGGAGUUGUCAAUUAAUCCAAAGAAGUUGGUCUGUCUCCUAUGACAUUAUCCAUCACCUGUCCAACGGAAUUAACAGUUUGAUUAUAUUUGAUAGAGACCUGAUACUUUGAUAUUGACAGAACUACAGAAGGAUUAGUAUUGUUGAGAGGCAGUACACCCAAAGGUGGUUUCAGUCUGAACUGAUUCAGAUCCUUGAUGUUUGAGAAAUUUAGGGGCAUUGAGCAUUGCAGAGGAUUCCUAGUGAUAAAAGUCAAGCAUUUUUUUCUGCAUCGUUUCUCACCAUAAAGAAUUUCCUUAUGGAGAUAUCUUUUAUUUUUAUGGAAGAUAUGAAAAGAGAUACACAUCAUUAUCAGCAUGCAUCAUGCACAAAGAAACAGCUUGGUCCCAGGCCUCUCCAUGACCAAAGGCUUGAAUUUUAAGCAUUCCUUCCUGGCACUCUUAGCUGCAGACUCAUCAAUUUCUUGAUGCCUUUUGCCAAAUUUUCAGGUUGCGUCCUCUCUUGGCUAAUCCUAUAACAGUUGUCCUCUCAUUUAAUUUUAUUAUUCUUUUUUUUCAGAAUAUUAGUCCUUUGAUUAUUUGCCCAAGGAAAAUAAAAGAGGUACUACGUAUCAGCAAAGCAUAAUUCUUCAUUAGUUGUACUUAGAUUGUCCAUACAUGUACUGACACUGUAGAUUAGAUCUUAAUCUUAUCACGGCCA